rnacentral:tRNA from 1 species
GUUUAUAUAGUUUAAAAAAAAACCUUACAUUUUCAUUGUAAUAAUAAAAUUCUCUUUUUUUAUAAAUA